AACGGCCGUACCAUGCUGAAUAUACCGGUUCUCGUUAGAUCACCGAAGUUAAGCAUCUUUGGGCGCGGUCAGUACUUGGGUGGGUGACCACCUGGGAACACUGCGUGCCGUU
rnacentral:rRNA from 1 species